GGGCGGCGGUGGUGCGUGGGCUACGAGAGAAGGUCUGGAUACUACACAGUUUACAAGCAGAUAUACAGAAUGGAGCCUCAGACUGUCUAUAAAUGCUGCCCUGGAUGGGUCCAGCAAGGCAGUGAACCUGGCUGCUUGCACUCCCUGUGCGCCGCUGGCACUUGCUUCAACGGAGGGA